rnacentral:lncRNA from 1 species
AACUAAAUAAGAAAUAUAUGCAGUAAAUUCAUUCGAAGUAGAAAAGGGAUCUUACAUCAAAUAAGGCAUUACAACAAACAUGGUGUUAUCUUAGUAAAAGAAAUUACAUCAUUAGAAGAGAAAAGGGAAGAAAACCAAACAUGAGGUUGAGAUUAAUACAUCUAGGAGGAGGUCGUAGACAUCACUUUGAUCAUGACAUCACUGUGAUCAUUUUGCGGCCUGGGGAGCAAGGAUCCAUGGUUUUUAUAUGCCUUGUCCGGCUGCUGGAGUUGAUGACAUGGAAACGUCAUCUCUACCAUCUCGAUGGCUUAGACCCAGGGAGCCGGAUGUUCAUCUCAGCCCUCCCCAGCUUCCAUCAAUGGAUUUUUAUAGUCAGGGUUAAAGACUGAGAGGCCCUAUGCAUGUUCACAAAAACACAAUUUUGACAAAUUAUCUCUAUUGUAAAAUUGAGGGAGUAACUCAUUAUUCGAGAGAACUGGUCGUACAUGAAGCAUCAAGAACACACGUGCAAAAAUCUAAUUCUAACUGAAUUUAGCUUUCAGUUGGCAUUUCCUCAAACAAUCAAGUGCACCUAUUAUUAUUUGGCUGACAAAAAUAUGAACACCAAACAUGCCAUCAUCAUUAAGCAAUUCAAGGAUGUCUAUGAAUCGGACAUGAAAUAUUUGGAGCAUGGAAUAAAAAACAGCACACUGUCUUCUGGCGUAGAUGCACAAUAGAUGCACUCCUUCAAAUAGAGAUCAAUUUUCAGCUGAAACGAUAGAUGCACUCUUUCAAAUAUGCAUCAUAGUAGGUCCUACAAAAAUCACGAGAAAUUAGAGGAUGCAACUUGAUGACUGCCUUCUAUAUCAUUUGGAGGACAAAAGAAGCUAGAAAAAUUGUGAUGAACCACCAAUCCCUGUUAAAAGUAACUAUCAUUCCCCUUUGAUAUAUGGAUAUAUCAAUCAAGAGAGAGAGUGGGGGGGUUAUACCAGGAAACACUUUGCAAACAUAAGCUUUUAAACUGGUAGUCAACUUACUGUCAACAUGUAAGGUUGCCUCAUUUCUGAAAAACACAAAUCCACCCUAAAUUUUCACAUGAAUAAAAUGUAGAUUUUCUCUUCUAUCAAGAUAUUACAUGUCUGGUAUCUUCUUGUAGGAACUGCUACCAUCAUUUGCUUCUUCUCACAAAGAAUUCAAUCCAUAGUAUGCCAAGAAGCUAUGAAAAAAAAUUAAUUUCUUCAAAGAAUAAAAUACAUUGCAGAAAUAAAAUACUCUAUCAGAGAGUUGGCAGGCAAGGUAGUAGGGACAAGAAGAGCAAGAACUAACUUUGAGAGGAUAUGGGCAAACUCCUGCAUUGUGCCCUGGCUGACCCCUACGCUUACGCCAUGCCUCCUGUAUCCAUUCCUCAUUCCUCUGUGUUGUGAUAGAAAUUCAGAAUGGCAAAUAAAAGUAUUAUUAGAUUGCAGCCUUAAUUUCUUAUCCUUUAGUAGAUGCACAUUUGAUUCUAUUCUUAGAUUGCAGCCUUAAUUUCUUAUCCUUUAGUAGACGCACAUUUGAUUCUGAAGGAAGAAGACGGGAAAUAUGCAUAUAGCAAGAAAUAGUAAAAAUAUGUUCUUUCGAACUUGCAUGGCUAUUUGUUUUUUCUGUAAACAUGCCAAUCUACUGCCAUCUCACUCGCCUUAAUUUCUUACCUUUUCAUAGAUGCAAAUUUGAUUUUGAGCAAGUAGAGAAGCAAUAUACGAUAGCAUACAUCAAGAAAGAGUAGAAGAAUGUUCUUUUCAGCUGAUGUACACUAUAGAUGCAAAUUAUAUAUAUACGACUAUAAUUUUUUUCCUGUAAAUACACUGAUGUACUACCAUCUCAUUACAAAUUAUGUAUCGUGCCAAGGAAAAAUCAUUUUACUUUUCAGCAUAUAUAUACGAUCAUACGGUAGUCACACAUAUAAGCAGCACCACAAAAACAAACACACAAACAUGACACCUGGAAAAAUCAGGAACGGAGGAAUUAGCAUGACAAUAAGAAGUAAACAAAUAGGGUAGAAAAGUGCAGUGCUUAGAAAAGAAUGACAAGGAGAAACAUUGACCAAAGGAACAGAGAAGGAGCAACCUUAGCGAUUCUAGAGCCUGCAAAAUAGAAGGAAAGGAAGGUUAGCCAAACAAGCCAGUCUGUUCAAUACCUAACACAACAACAAAUCAAAGACAACCUAGCUUUACAUGGCAGAAAUUUCAAGAGAAAAAAUAUAUAAUAUGAUAUCUAACUGUGCGAAUACAUUAGGAAAUACCACUUCCAAAUUAGAGCGCACCAUUCCCCAAAACUCAAGGACUCAAUAUUCAAAAACUACACAUCAUGAUAGUUAGUUGUUCUACAGCAG